rnacentral:rRNA from 1 species
AUUGAACGCUGGCGGCAGGCCUAACACAUGCAAGUCGAACGGUAACAGGAAGCAGCUUGCUGCUUCGCUGACGAGUGGCGGACGGGUGAGUAAUGUCUGGGAAGCUGCCUGAUGGAGGGGGAUAACUACUGGAAACGGUAGCUAAUACCGCAUAAUGUCGCAAGACCAAAGAGGGGGACCUUCGGGCCUCUUGCCAUCGGAUGUGCCCAGAUGGGAUUAGCUUGUUGGUGGGGUAACGGCUCACCAAGGCGACGAUCCCUAGCUGGUCUGAGAGGAUGACCAGCCACACCGGAACUGAGACACGGUCCAGACUCCUACGGGAGGCAGCAGUGGGGAAUAUUGCACAAUGGGCGCAAGCCUGAUGCAGCCAUGCCGCGUGUAUGAAGAAGGCCUUCGGGUUGUAAAGUACUUUCAGCGGGGAGGAAGGGGGUAAAGUUAAUACCUUUGCUCAUUGACGUUACCCGCAGAAGAAGCACCGGCUAACUCCGUG